rnacentral:rRNA from 1 species
CCUACGGGUGGCUGCAGUGGGGGAUAUUGCACAAUGGGGGGAACCCUGAUGCAGCGACGCCGCGUGGGUGAAGAAGCGCCUCGGCGCGUAAAGCCCUGUCAGCAGGGAAGAAAAUGACGGUACCUGAAGAAGAAGCCCCGGAUAACUACGUGCCAGCAGCCGCGGUAACAUGGAGGGGGCAAGCGUUAUCCGGAUUUACUGGGUGUAAAGGGGGCGCAGACGGCGUUGCAAGCCAGGAGUGAACGCCCGGGGCCCAACCCCGGGACUGCUGUUGAAACUGCGUGGCUGGAGUGAAGGAGGGGCAGGCGGAAUUCGUGGUGUAGCGGUGAAAUGCGUAGAUAUCAGGAGGAACACCGGUGGCGAAGGCGGCCUGCUGGGCUGCAACUGACGUUGAGGCCCGAAAGCGUGGGGAGCAAACAGGAUUAGAUACCCCUGUAGUC